CUACUGUUGGGCUCUGUUGGGACUGUAUUCCUUUGCCUCUCCUUCGCCUAUUAGUGUCAGUCGCUAAUAUUAAAGCAGUAGCAUUGGCUGACAGUGUCCUCAAAUAUGAGAGCUUCAGAGAAGAGUUCUGAUGCACAGCUCCUGUCAUUCCCCUCUCUGGUCCUCUAGGGAUCUUUGCUGAAGAGACACAUUCUGAACUAGAGCCAGAGGGGGAAGAAAGAACUAGCUUGGAAUUGGAAACAGACUCGUAGUCUUGUAGCUGAGAAGUUCCUAAAAACCUCAGCCGCUCCCCACCUCUCCCAACACAGCGAAGUCAGGACUUUUAAGACGAAGACCUGGGAUUUCGCGCCCCGGGCAAAACGUCUCAUCUGCGGACACGCGUGCCUUGUUCUGGCAGCACCCUGGGAAUCCUUCCCGCCAAACGGGACAGGACGAUCUUUUUGAAAAGUGGCUUGAAAUCCUGCAAUAAAAAUCAAAUCCUACCACUUUGGGUGCAAAGGGGGUGGGUGGGGUGGGAGGACAUCACAGUCGUCUUUGCUGGUGUACCUACGCCAACCGUGGCGUUGCUCAUUUACGCAUUUCC
rnacentral:lncRNA from 1 species